rnacentral:rRNA from 1 species
CUACGGGAGGCUCCAGUGGGGAAUAUUGCACAAUGGAGGAAACUCUGAUGCAGCAACGCCGCGUGGAGGAUGACACUUUUCGGAGCGUAAACUCCUUUUAUAUAGGAAGAAGAUGACGGUACUAUAUGAAUAAGCGCCGGCUAACUCCGUGCCAGCAGCCGCGGUAAUACGGAGGGCGCAAGCGUUACUCGGAAUCACUGGGCGUAAAGAGCGUGUAGGCGGAUUAAAAAGUCAGAAGUGAAAUCCUAUAGCUUAACUAUAGAACUGCUUCUGAAACUCUUAAUCUAGAAUAUGGGAGAGGUAGAUGGAAUUUCUGGUGUAGGGGUAAAAUCCGUAGAGAUCAGAAGGAAUACCGAUUGCGAAGGCGAUCUACUAGAACAUUAUUGACGCUGAGACGCGAAAGCGUGGGAAGCAAACAGGAUUAGAUACCCUGGUAGUC